GACGAACGCUGGCGGCGUGCUUAACACAUGCAAGUCGAACGGAAAGGCCCUGCUUUUGUGGUGUUCUCGAGUGGCGAACGGGUGAGUAACACGUGAGUAACCUGCCCUUGACUUUGGGAUAACUUCAGGAAACUGGGGCUAAUACCGGAUAGGAGCUCCUGCUGCAUGGUGGGGGUGGGAAAGUUUCGGCGGUUGGGGAUGGACUCGCGGCUUAUCAGCUUGUUGGUGGGGUAGUGGCUUACCAAGGCUGUGACGGGUAGCCGGCCUGAGAGGGUGACCGGCCACAUUGGGACUGAGAUACGGACCAGACUCCUACGGGAGGCAGCAGUGGGGAAUAUUGCACAAUGGGCGGAAGCCUGAUGCAGCAACGCCGCGUGCGGGAUGACGGCCUUCGGGUUGUAAACCGCUUUCGCCUGUGACGAAGCGUGAGUGACGGUACUGGGUAAAGAAGCACCGGCUAACUACGUG
rnacentral:rRNA from 1 species